GGCCGGAUACCCAAGUGGACUAAGGGAACGGAUUGCAAAUCCGUCUUUCGUGGGUUCGAAUCCCACUCCGGCCU
rnacentral:tRNA from 1 species